AACAAAUACAGUCACCCAACGUAUUUGCGGGAAGCAUGUGCAGUUCUAGAACUCGAACAGAUCACUUCGGUUUUUCACAUGACCAUCGUUUGUUUUAUUCUACUUUUGUAAGCCACAUAAAACAUGGAAUCAAAAUCCAGGGAUCACAAGGAAGAGAAUACGAUUGCACGAAGAAAGUUUUGUGGCGCGCUAAAGGCAUGUUGUCACUGUCAGAUAAAUUUUCUAAGAGCAAUUUUCAAAGACGGCUACAGCACCUUACUCAAAUUUUUCUGUAUCCGUCCUUGAUACUACAUCUGGACGUUAAGUGCUCCAGCGAUAAUACACGGUGAAGAGAAUCAGGGAGGGUACCCUCAAGACAAGAGCCACCCACCCCUGAGAGAGAGGAACAGGAAUAUGAAAAGAUUGCUAAUUUUGGUGUAGCUGAAGUGGAAGACUGUGGCAAUAUUUUUACGUUAACAAAUGUCUUUGCGGGUUCUCACGCGAACUGACGAAAGAAUUGAAAAGAAAGGAAUUGAUAAGAAGACGGCAAUUGAACAGUUUUCUAAUGUACGUAUUUGGGAUAGAGGCUGUCCUAGUUUUCAAUUUCCUUCGUUUUUAUCAAACAGUGACAGUAUAAAGCCAAGAUAUUUUCGUAAAAACAAAAUCAUUGCUCAUAUGAAAAGUAUCUGCUGAAAUAUUUGAAAGACAGAACAUUGCAACAGGAAAUGUCAUUGCUGAUAAACAACCUAGGCUUAAUUGGAGACAACAUGUAGAAGUUUAUGUAUUCCGAGUUAUACAAAUACCGAAUACAAGUUAUACGAGUAUAACUUGUAUAGUGACAAAUUUAUGGUGCAAGAUCCAAUCUAGGACUGGGUACAAGUACAGUAGUCUAAAAAUUGAUUUUGUAGAAUUUUUAAAGCUGUUUGUGCAUCUCAUUUUAUUCAGCACGUCAAAUAACGCCAGAAAAAAGGUUCAGUUUUGUAAA